rnacentral:piRNA from 1 species
UGACAUAUUAGGCUGUCAGUGAACAUUUGC